rnacentral:rRNA from 1 species
GAUGAACGCUGGCGGCGUGCUUAACACAUGCAAGUCGAACGAGAAGUGAAGACGGACCCCUUCGGGCGGAAGGCUUUAUUUCGAGUGGCGGACGGGUGAGUAACGCGUGGGUAACCUGCCUCAUACAGGGGGAUAACAGUUGGAAACGACUGUAAUACCGCAUAAGACCACAGCACCGCAUGGUGCGGGGGUAAAAACUCCGGUGGUAUGAGAUGGACCCGCGUUCGAUUAGCCAGUUGGCGGGGUAACGGCCCACCAAAGCGACGAUCGAUAGCCGAUCUGAGAGGAUGACCGGCCACAUUGGGACUGAGACACGGCCCAAACUCCUACGGGAGGCAGCAGUGGGGAAUAUUGCACAAUGGGGGAAACCCUGAUGCAGCGACGCCGCGUGAGUGAAGAAGUAUUUCGGUAUGUAAAGCUCUAUCAGCAGGGAAGAAAAUGACGGUACCUGAGUAAGAAGCCCCGGCUAACUACGUG